GGAGUUGUAGCUCAGAGGUAGAGCAUUCGCCUCAUACGUGUGAGGCACUGGGUUCAAUUCCCAGCACCA
rnacentral:tRNA from 1 species